CCUACGGGGUGCUGCAGUAGGGAAUAUUGCUCAAUGGGGGAAACCCUGAAGCAGCAACGCCGCGUGGAGGAUGAAGGUUUUCGGAUUGUAAACUCCUUUUGUUAGAGAAGAUAAUGACGGUAUCUAACGAAUAAGCACCGGCUAACUCCGUGCCAGCAGCCGCGGUAAUACGGAGGGUGCAAGCGUUACUCGGCAUCACUGGGCGGAAAGAGCGCGUAGGCGGGAUAGCAAGUCAGAUGUUAAAUCCUAUGGCUUAACCAUAGAACUGCAUUUGAAACUGUUAUUCUAGAGUAUGGGAGAGGUAGGUGGAAUUCUUGGUGUAGGGGUAAAAUCCGUAGAGAUCAAGAGGAAUACUCAUUGCGAAGGCGACCUGCUAGAACAUAACUGACGCUGAUGCGCGAAAGCGUGGGGAGCAAACAGGAUUAGAUACCCGAGUAGUC
rnacentral:rRNA from 1 species